UACGUAGGGGGCAAGCGUUGUCCGGAUUUAUUGGGCGUAAAGAGCGUGUAGGCGGCCAAACAGGUCAGCUGUGAAAACUCGAGGCUCAACCUCGAGACGUCGGUUGAAACCGUUUGGCUAGAGUCCGGAAGAGGAGAGUGGAAUUCCCGGUGUAGCGGUGAAAUGCGCAGAUAUCGGGAAGAACACCCGUGGCGAAGGCGGCUCUCUGGGACGGUGCUGACGCUGAGACGCGAAAGCGUGGGGAGCGAACAGG
rnacentral:rRNA from 1 species